GACGAACGCUGGCGGCGUGCUUAGCACAUGCAAGUCGAACGGAGAGGCCCUGCUUUUGUGGGGUGCUCGAGUGGCGAACGGGUGAGUAACACGUGAGUAACCUGCCCUUGACUUUGGGAUAACUUCAGGAAACUGGGGCUAAUACCGGAAAGGAGCUCCUGCUGCAUGGUGGGGGUGGGAAAGUUUCGGCGGUUGGGGAUGGACUCGCGGCUUAUCAGCUUGUUGGUGGGGUAGUGGCUUACCAAGGCUUUGACGGGUAGCCGGCCUGAGAGGGUGACCGGCCACAUUGGGACUGAGAUACGGCCCAGACUCCUACGGGAGGCAGCAGUGGGGAAUAUUGCACAAUGGGCGGAAGCCUGAUGCAGCAACGCCGCGUGCGGGAUGACGGCCUUCGGGUUGUAAACCGCUUUCGCCUGUGACGAAGCGUGAGUGACGGUAAUGGGUAAAGAAGCACCGGCUAACUACGUG
rnacentral:rRNA from 1 species